UAAUGCAGGCUAGUUUUUGGAGUUUUGCCUAGAAGAGAGUCGCAAUAGGGAGCUCAUUCGAGCCGAAUCCAUGAGUGCAAGCGGUGGGCGAGGCUGUCGAACGCCAUCGUCCCGACGGGAUGGGAAGGCGCAGCAAAGCUUCGACCCGCAAGGCAGGAGACCUGCCGGAAUGUUCGCCCUGUC
rnacentral:ncRNA from 1 species